UGCUAUACAUGCAAGUAGAACGCUGAAGAGAGGAGCUUGCUCUUCUUGGAUGAGUUGCGAACGGGUGAGUAACGCGUAGGUAACCUGCCUUGUAGCGGGGGAUAACUAUUGGAAACGAUAGCUAAUACCGCAUAACAAUGGAUGACACAUGUCAUUUAUUUGAAAGGGGCAAUUGCUCCACUACAAGAUGGACCUGCGUUGUAUUAGCUAGUAGGUGAGGUAAUGGCUCACCUAGGCGACGAUACAUAGCCGACCUGAGAGGGUGAUCGGCCACACUGGGACUGAGACACGGCCCAGACUCCUACGGGAGGCAGCAGUAGGGAAUCUUCGGCAAUGGGGGCAACCCUGACCGAGCAACGCCGCGUGAGUGAAGAAGGUUUUCGGAUCGUAAAGCUCUGUUGUAAGUCAAGAACGGGUGUGAGAGUGGAAAGUUCACACUGUGACGGUAGCUUACCAGAAAGGGACGGCUAACUACGUGCCAGCAGCCGCGGUAAUACGUAGGUCCCGAGCGUUGUCCGGAUUUAUUGGGCGUAAAGCGAGCGCAGGCGGUUUGAUAAGUCUGAAGUUAAAGGCUGUGGCUCAACCAUAGUUCGCUUUGGAAACUGUCAAACUUGAGUGCAGAAGGGGAGAGUGGAAUUCCAUGUGUAGCGGUGAAAUGCGUAGAUAUAUGGAGGAACACCGGUGGCGAAAGCGGCUCUCUGGUCUGUAACUGACGCUGAGGCUCGAAAGCGUGGGGAGCGAACAGGAUUAGAUACCCUGGUAGUCCACGCCGUAAACGAUGAGUGCUAGGUGUUGGAUCCUUUCCGGGAUUCAGUGCCGCAGCUAACGCAUUAAGCACUCCGCCUGGGGAGUACGACCGCAAGGUUGAAACUCAAAGGAAUUGACGGGGGCCCGCACAAGCGGUGGAGCAUGUGGUUUAAUUCGAAGCAACGCGAGAACCU
rnacentral:rRNA from 1 species